AACUAUAGGGGGCAGCAUAGGAGCUGUCAGAUUUUUGGCGCGAGGCGUAAAUGUGUCGUUUAUGCUUCCGAUGUAGCCCACAAGAUGGCAGAACCUACUAUGCACAAGGAAACAUACCGACGAGAACGGUAGAUGGUAGCACUGGCUUUGGCAAUGUACAUGUGCACAUGUGUUUCCGAUUCAGGCCACAAGAUGGCAGACCCUCCAACGCGCACGGUCCCUAUAUGGUUAGGUUUGUUUUAUGGCAAUCCUGAAAAGUUACGCGUUUCUGAGAAA